UACAGAGGUCCCAAGCGUUGUUCGGAUUUACUGGGCGUAAAGGGUGCGUAGGCGGCGAGGAAAGUUUGAGGUGAAAUCUCCAGGCUCAACUUGGAAAAUGCCUUGAAGACUUCCUUGCUCGAGGGUCGUAGAGGAGACUGGAAUUCUCGGUGUAGCAGUGAAAUGCGUAGAUAUCGAGAGGAACACCAGUGGCGAAAGCGGGUCUCUGGACGACACCUGACGCUGAGGCACGAAAGCCAGGGGAGCAAACGGG
rnacentral:rRNA from 1 species